GGACUACAGGGGUAUCUAAUCCCGUUCGCUCCCCUGGCUUUCGCACCUCAGCGUCAGUCACCUCCCAGGACACUGCCUUCGCCUUUGGUAUUCCUCCGGAUAUCUACGCAUUUCACCACUCCACCCGGAAUUCUAUGUCCCUCUGAGGCCCUCCAGUCCGACCGUCUUCCCGGCACUCCCGUAGUGAAGCCACGGGCUGGCACCGGAAACGCGCCGAACCGCCUGCGUGCGCUUUACGCCCAGUAACUCCGGACAACGCUUGCCCCCUACGUAUUACCGCGGCUGCUGGCAC
rnacentral:rRNA from 1 species